rnacentral:rRNA from 1 species
ACCUACGGGGGGCAGCAGUGAGGAAUAUUGGUCAAUGGUCGGGAGACUGAACCAGCCAAGCCGCGUGAGGGAUGAAGGUACAGAGUAUCGUAAACCUCUUUUGUCAGGGAACAAAGGCGGGGACGUGUCCCCGGAUGAGUGUACCUGAGGAAAAAGCAUCGGCUAACUCCGUGCCAGCAGCCGCGGUAAUACGGAGGAUGCGAGCGUUAUCCGGAUUUAUUGGGUUUAAAGGGUGCGCAGGCGGUCUGUUAAGUCAGCGGUCAAAGCCCGGGGCUCAACCCCGGCCCGCCGUUGAAACUGGCAGG